UACAGAGGGGGCAAGCGUUAUUCGGAAUUAUUGGGCGUAAAGGGCGCGUAGGCGGCUUUGCAAGUGACGGGUGAAAGCCCUCGGCUUAACCGAGGAACUGCCUGUCAGACUGUGAGGCUUGAGACCGGGAGAGGUGAGUGGAAUUCCCAGUGUAGCGGUGAAAUGCGUAGAUAUUGGGAGGAACAUCAGUGGCGAAGGCGGCUACCUGGCCCAAUACUGACACUCAGGUGCGACAGCGUGGGGAGCAAACAGG
rnacentral:rRNA from 1 species